CAGCCGCCGCGGUAAGACAGAGGAUGCAAGCGUUAUCCGGAAUGAUUGGGCGUAAAGCGUCUGUAGGUGGCUUUUCAAGUCCGCCGUCAAAUCCCAGGGCUCAACCCUGGACAGGCGGUGGAAACUACCAAGCUGGAGUACGGUAGGGGCAGAGGGAAUUUCCGGUAGAGCGGUGAAAUGCGUUGAGAUUGGAAAGAACACCAACGGUGAAAGCACUCUGCUGGGCCGACACUGACACUGAGAGACGAAAGCUAGGGGAGCAAAUGGGAUUAGAUACCCCCGUAGUCCCUGUCUCUUAUAC
rnacentral:rRNA from 1 species